CAGAAUGUAGUUUAUUUAGAAUUAUAGUUUUGGAGACUAUGGGUAGGUUAAUCUUUAUUCUGA
rnacentral:tRNA from 1 species